rnacentral:pre_miRNA from 1 species
GAACUACUCCCUCUGUCCCAAAUUUCUUGUCUUAGAUUUGUCUAGAUACGGAUGUAUCUAAUACUAAAAUGUGACUUGAUACAUCUGUAUCUAGACAAAUCUAAGACAAGAAUUUCGGGACAGAGGGAGUACUUU